GAGGAUUUCCUGGGACUUUGUGGGGGGUAAGAGCUUUGCCAUUGUAGGGGUUAUUACCAGUCUCAGGAAUAUCUGGAGCAGGUGAGGUGCCAGGAGUUCCUUGGAGGCUGGAAGUACUAAAGAAGUGGCAUAAUCCUGUAAAAUGGGGGAGAUUGAAGAGGGAGGUUUCAACGAAUGAUGAUCUGGAAACAAAAAUGUGGAUGUUUAAAAACUGGAAAAUGUUGUAAAAUCCAAAAGGGAUGAAUGAACCUAAGCCAGCUGUUUAAUUUUCUGGUUUAGAUACACAUCUGUUUCCUCUCAGAUCACAGGUGUCCCGCUUCCACAUCCAUCUUAACGUAAUGUAGCAAAGGUUGUUGUAAAAAUAUGUCAAAGGGAUGAAGACUUCAGUCAUUUGCUUACGCUAAUAUGAUUUCUCUACUCAUUUCUUCAAAGCUUAUUAACGUCUAAACACUAGAAAGGGGUACGGGGAAUGUUUGUGGGCAAGAUCCUCCCUGCUGCUUCCCUCCAGUUGUGCAUUUCUUGUGUCCUUCUCAGUGUCAGACCACCCGUAUUUCAAAUUAUGAUUUGUUUGGAAGUGUGAAGCCUGCAUACGUAAUGACGCUUGUGCAGGUGUGUAUAUAGAUGUCUCUCUGUAUUUGUGUAUAUAGAUGUCUCUCUGUAUUUAUAACCAUUGAGUAUAAACGAGAAAGUUUGCUGCAGAGUUCUCUCCCCCUUGCUGGCUGCCAUCCUGAGCACUCCUUGCCCCGGUGCCGGAGCCCUGAGCCCUUCCCUUCCUCCGGACGCCGCAGCACUCGCAGGGUCCCACAUUGGCUGUCCCUGCUGGGAGAGCACGGCUUCUGCUGAUGGGAUGGGCUGGGAAUAGUCCUUGUGCAUUUUCUAUUGGUAUCGGGAUCAAUACUGGUUCUUUAGUGUUCUCAAUGUUAAUUGUCUAGUCUUAUUCUAUUAAACCUGUUUGAAUUUCA